GACGAACGCUGGCGGCGCGCUUAACACAUGCAAGUCGAGCGACGAAAGGUCCUUCGGGACCCGUGAAAGCGGCGAACGGGUGAGUAACACGUGGGUAACCAACCCUCCGGUUCCGGGAUAGCCCGAGGAAACUCGGAUUAAUACCGGAUGGCCUCUAGAGCUCACGGGCUCGAGAGGAAAGGUAGCGUUCGGCCUCCGACCGAGGACGGGCCCGCGGGCCGAUUAGCUUGUUGGUGAGGCAACGGCUCACCAAGGCGGACGAUCGGUAGCUGGUCUGAGAGGACGAUCAGCCACACUGGGACUGAGACACGGCCCAGACUCCUACGGGAGGCAGCAGUGGGGAAUCUUGCGCAAUGGGCGAAAGCCUGACGCAGCGACGCCGCGUGCGGGAAG
rnacentral:rRNA from 1 species